UACGAAGGGGGCGAGCGUUGUUCGGAAUUACUGGGCGUAAAGGGCGCGUAGGCGGCGACUCAAGUUAGAUGUGAAAGUCCUGGGCUUAACCUGGGGACUGCAUUUGAUACUGGGUUGCUUGAAUUCGGGAGAGGAUAGCGGAAUUCCAGGUGUAGCGGUGAAAUGCGUAGAUAUCUGGAGGAACACCGGUGGCGAAGGCGGCAUCCUGGACCGACACUGACACUGAGGAGCGAAAGCCAGGGGAGCAAACGGG
rnacentral:rRNA from 1 species